rnacentral:tRNA from 1 species
UGCCUAGUCUACUUUCUAUGUCUUUAUGGCACUUCGUUCGGGACGAAGGGGCCGCAGGUUCAAAUCCUGUCAUCC